GACAGAGGGUGCAAACGUUGUUCGGAAUUACUGGGCGUAAAGCGCGUGUAGGCGGCUAAGUAAGUCGGGCGUGAAAUCCCACGGCUCAACCGUGGAAGUGCACUCGAAACUGCAUAGCUAGAGUCCUGGAGAGGAAGGUGGAAUGCUUGGUGUAGAGGUGAAAUUCGUAGAUAUCAAGCGGAACACCCGUGGCGAAGGCGGCUCUCUGGGACGGUACUGACGCUGAGACGCGAAAGCGUGGGGAGCGAACAGG
rnacentral:rRNA from 1 species